rnacentral:ncRNA from 1 species
UAACUGGAGAGUUUGAUCCUGGCUCAGGACGAACGCUGGCGGCGUGCUUAACACAUGCAAGUCGAACGG